UACCAGCACCCCGAGUGGUCGGGACGAUUAUUGGGCCUAAAGCAUCCGUAGCCGGUUCUACAAGUCUUCCGUUAAAUCCACCUGCUUAACAGAUGGGCUGCGGAGGAUACUAUGGAGCUAGGAGGCGGGAGAGGCAAGCGGUACUUAGUGGGUAGGGGUAAAAUCCGUUGAUCCAUUGAAGACCACCAGUGGCGAAGGCGGCUUGCCAGAACGCACUCGACGGUGAGGGAUGAAAGCUGGGGGAGCAAACGGGG
rnacentral:rRNA from 1 species